rnacentral:snRNA from 1 species
AGAAUUAAUCUAGAGGCGGUACCAUGGCCAGUGAGGUAAAUCCGAGGCGUGGUUAUUGCUAGUUGAAACA